rnacentral:rRNA from 1 species
GGUUCAAUUCGACGCAACGCGAAGAACCUUACCCAGGCUUGAACAGCGAGUGACCACUCCUGAAAGGGAGCUUCCGCAAGGACACUCGUAGAGGUGCUGCAUGGCUGUCGUCAGCUCGUGUCGUGAGAUGUUGGGUUAAGUCCCGCAACGAGCGCAACCCUUGUCUUCUGUUGCCAUCAGGUUAUGCUGGGCACUCUGGAGAGACUGCCGGUGAUAAACCGGAGGAAGGUGGGGAUGACGUCAAGUCAGCAUGGCCUUUAUGUCUGGGGCUACACACGUGCUACAAUGGCCGGCACAAACCGUCGCGAGCCCGCAAGGGGGAGCUAAUCGGAGAAAGUCGGUCUCAGUUCGGAUCGUCGGCUGCAACUCGCCGGCGUGAAGUUGGAAUCGCUAGUAAUCGCGGAUCAGCACGCCGCGGUGAAUACGUUCCCGGGCCUUGUACACACCGCC